rnacentral:tRNA from 1 species
GAGUUUAUAGCUCAAAAGGGUAGAGCGAUUCGCUUACAACGAGACGGUUGUGGGUUCAAGUCCUGCUAAACUCA